UCUCUUGUAGUACAAUGGCAGUACGCGUGGCUGUUAACCACAUUAUGGGGGUUCGAUUCCCUCCGAGAGAGCCA
rnacentral:tRNA from 1 species